AUGUGGACCCGUCUUCGUCAGCGCUAUCAGCCCUCUGGUGAUGCCUUAUACCUUUCUGUGGUCCGUCAGGAGCAUGCUCUUCAGCAGGGUGACUCUACUGUUGAUGACUUCUAUGCACAGAGUUCUGCUAUCUGGCGCCAGCUUGAUUCUCUCCAUAGUGCUGGUUGUCGUACCUGCCCCUGUUGCCAGGCUGUCCAGGCCAAUUUGGAGUUUCAUCACGUCUAUGAGUUCCUGUCUCGGCUCCGUAAGGAGUUUGAGCCCCAGCGUGCUCAGUUGUUUGCUCGUGGCCGUAUUUCUCUCAUGGAGGCGCUUUCUGAGAUUCGUGUUGAGGAGACUCGCUUACGUGGUGCUGGUUUGCUGGAGGUUCCCUCUGUGCUCGCUACUCGUGCUCCUACGCCACCUGUUGCACCGACCCCUUCUCGCUCGAGUGCUCCGCCGCUCUUGCCCACUCCUUCUGGAGGCUCAGGUCGCCCCCGUCCACAUUGCGACUACCGCAACAAUGAUGGUCAUCUUGAGUCUCAGUGCUACACGAAGAAGAAACACCUGCGCAAGGCGCGAUCAUCAUCUUCAGGGACUUCGUCA
rnacentral:rRNA from 1 species